GAUGAACGCUGGCGGCGUGCCUAAUACAUGCAAGUCGAGCGAACAGACGAUGAGCUUGCUCCUCUGACGUUAGCGGCGGACGGGUGAGUAACACGUGGAUAACCUACCUAUAAUACUGGGAUAACUUCGGGAAACCGGAGCUAAUACCGGAUAAUAUAUUGAACCGCAUGGUUCAAUAGUGAAAGACGGUUUUGCUGUCACUUAUAGAUGGAUCCGCGCCGCAUUAGCUAGUUGGUAAGGUAACGGCUUACCAAGGCAACGAUGCGUAGCCGACCUGAGAGGGGGAUCGGCCACACUGGAACUGAGACACGGUCCAGACUCCUACGGGAGGCAGCAGUAGGGAAUCUUCCGCAAUGGGCGAAAGCCUGACGGAGCAACGCCGCGUGAGUGAUGAAGGUCUUCGGAUCGUAAAACUCUGUUAUUAGGGAAGAACAAAUGUGUAAGUAACUAUGCACGUCUUGACGGUACCUAAUCAGAAAGCCACGGCUAACUACGUG
rnacentral:rRNA from 1 species